CUUUCCUUUUCUUCCCUCUCCCUCUCUCUCUCUCUCUCUCUCUCGUUUCUCUUUCCCCAAGAUCUCCAAACCUCGCCUCUCUCGAGUAAACGAAAACCCUAACUCAGUCACAACUAUAACCACCUUUACUUCCAGAACGAGCACAGAAGAAUCCCCGAUCUUCUUCUUCUCAUAUAUGGAUGUUUUUGGUAACAAAAUCGAUUUCAUCUGAAAUCGCUCAUCUCUUGUGUAAAAAAAUCACUAUUCUCUUUGUCUAAGCUAUCGACUUCAUCUGAAAUCAGUCAAGGGUUUGCUCAAGUCACUGUGUUUUCAUUACUCUUUCUCUAGCAGAUGAAGAUUGAUGAACAACAUGAAGGAUGCUGGAACUUCUAAAAGAGAACAUGCAGUCAUGGAGAAGAUUAAAGAAGCACACAGGAGAGUGAUGGUGGCUAACCAUCCUCACAAGGUUGGGAGCAUGUAUCUUGCUAAAAAGAUCAACGAGGCUGAGGUCCUUUUGAUGGAUGAGGGUCGUUUUCAAUUCUUUCCAUGUGAAGCCAGGGUUUGCUGUUAGGAUUGACAGAUGCUGAUGAUCCUAUUCCCAGAUCUAGUAAUGGCUUGUAUGAAGAAAUUUCUUUUAAGAUUCUGAAACAGGAAGUUAUAUCCAGAAAUGUAUUGGUUGAUGAAUGUUCAAGGCAGGUUGUCGAGGUGGAGCAAGCAGCCAUGUGGAAGUUUCUUUGGUGGUAGGGAAUCAUAGCUGUCCAUGUUAUGGUUGGCCAAAACAUAGAUGAUCACUCGAUAUAUACGCAUGAGCAAUAGAAGUUUAUGAACUGUAAUUUUCGUGUUUCAGAAACUUUUCUCCAGCACUUCCUCCUCAAGCCUUGUUGAUGUACUUUAUGCUGAGUGUUUGCAUUUGUCGAUUUGUGAAGGAAGGACUCAUGCUGGUUGUUGCAACAAUCUGACAAGAUAUAUGCUGGAGCAUUUUGAUAGUGAUUCAGUGAUUCGAAUCACAGUUUGAUUCUUCACAAGACUAAACUUUGUGCUCCUGCACUUGCUCCAUUCAAGGCUUAUUACGAAGGAAACUUUUGGGGUGCCAAAACAAUCCCAAGCACAGCAUGAGAUGCUUAACAUGCUGAAGCCAAGGCUCUUCUUGUAGCCACACUAUGGGUUAACGAGAUGGAACUGCAGUUUACUUCAAAGGGGACUGAAUCAUUCUGAAGAUGUAUGCUAUGCUAUCUAGUGUUCAAAUCACCAUAGUUAACUAUUGCUGUUAUAGUGGUCUGUCAAGUUUUCUAGAUUUUUGGUGUAGUUACUGUCAGUAUUAUUCGAAAAAAAUAUUGUCUUUAGGUUUCUGUUAGUAUUAUUUUGUAACAUUUGAUAAGGUCUUAUUUGGAAUAAAAUUUCUGUUAAUUCUGGGUAAA